rnacentral:rRNA from 1 species
UACAGAGGGUGCGAGCGUUGUCCGGAAUUACUGGGCGUAAAGGGCGCGUAGGUGGCUUGGUAAGCGUGUGGUGAAAGCUCGGGGCUCAACCCCGAGUCUGCCGUGCGAACUGCCGAGCUUGAGCAUGGUAGAGGCAGGUGGAAUUCCGGGUGUAGCGGUGGAAUGCGUAGAGAUCCGGAAGAACACCGGUGGCGAAGGCGGCCUGCUGGGCCAUAGCUGACACUGAGGCGCGACAGCGUGGGGAGCAAAC